CGCGUUAUCAGAAAAUGACUUCCAAAACAAAAUCCUGGACGGUGGCCAAGGAAAGAACAUUUCUUCGUGUGUGAUACAAUAACUUGAACAUAAUGUACAGUGCUCUUCUCCUAGUAGGCUAUGAUUUUUUUUUAUAAAUUUUUGUCUACUUUUAUAAAUGAAUAAAUGAAUAAUGCUCAGUCGGAAACAAAAAAUUGAAGCUGAAAAAAGAAAAACGAACUUUCGCUAGAAUAAUAAAUGGAUAAAAAAGGUAUAGUGAACAGGCCUUCGUCGUCUUUGUCUAUAAGAGACGAGAAAAUGUGUCUGGUCGUAUGGAAACGAUGCCAUCUAGACUUGCGUACUAAAUAUGUACCACGGGACGUAUAUCUUAAGCGUCUGGAAGAAACUUUCCAAAUUAAAGGUAUCAAAAUCAGCAGCUCCGAAAUAGAAAAAAAAUGGCGUUAUUUUAAUAUUAAAAAUUGGCGCCUACUAAAGGCUUAUAGAACUUCGAAAAGUUUCAUUGAUAAUAUGUCACCCAUGUUGAAUGAUACGAGCCAUCAGCCUGAUUGUCCACCGACAAAAAAAUGGAGAGCAGUAGACGAAACUAAUGUCAACGCUUUGGAGGAGUCUUUGGAGGAUGCUUCCGUGAGGAUGCUAGGUGAAGCUCCUCAAAAUGAACCUGAGUUGGACAUGUCGAAUCAAAUCGAAGAUUCAAUAGAAGAAAAGACACCAAGUAAUAACCAACGCAGCGACACAAAAUCGAAAUUAAUUUAUGAAUUUACUGAAUUAAUUGGUAAAGAACUUAGUUUGCUAAAGAACGAUUUGCUAAUUGACGCAAAACGUCAAAUUUUCAACGUUAUAUGUGUUAUACAAAUGAAACAAUUGUCACAAUCACAAUAAUAUUUACUAUAAAUGAGCAUAGACAAAUACGUUUUCAUUUUAAUUUAUUUAUUUGCGUUUACGUAAAUUACCUUUCGCAUUUCAACAUUUGUUGUUGUUAUCUUGAUCAUGAAAAUUAAUUGACUUUCUUAAAAAAAAUUGCAAUCGUUAAAAUAUUGCAAAGAAAAAUCGGUAUUCGAUAAUAUUAAUAUAUCGUUAUUGAUUCAACAGCGUUUGUUUUGGAGUAGUGGGUUGUAGAUUUUGGACUACGCGUUAUCAGGAAAGUAAUUUGUUAUUUGUUCAAAACACAAUGCAUAAUAACAAUUACUCAAACAUUUAAUUACUUUCAGUUACUUCCAAAACAAAAUCCUGGACGGCGGCCAAGGAAAGAACAUUUCUUCGUGUGUGAUACAAUAACUUGAACAUAAUGCACAGUGCUCUUCUCCUAGUAGGCUAUGAUUUUUUUUUUUUAUAAAUUUUUGUCUACUUUUAUAAAUGAAUAAAUGAAUAAUGCUCAGUCGGAAACCAAAAAUUGAAGCUGAAAAAAGAAAAACGAACUUUAGCUAGAAUAAUAAAUGGAUAAAAAAGGUAUAGUGAACAGCCCGUCGUCGCAGAGCACUUCGUCGAAUUCAAAUCGGAAGCAACCUUGCUCUCUAAAAGUCGAGAAAAUAUUUAAAUGGCAUGAUCUUAAUCGUAAAUUUCUGACCGCUGAAGCUGAUAGGCAAAAGGCUAAUGGAACUUCGGACAAUACGAGCUAUCAGCCUGAUUGUCCACCAACAAAAAAAUGGAGAGCAUUAUACCAAACUAAUGACAACGCUUUGGAGGAGUCUUUGGAGGAUGCUUCCGUGAGGAUGCUAGGUGAAGCUCCUCAAAAUGAACCUGAGUUGGACAUGUCGAAUCAAAUCGAAGAUUCAAUAGAAGAAAAGACACCAAGUAAUAACCAACGCAGCGACACAAAAUCGAAAUUAAUUUAUGAAUUUACUGAAUUAAUUGGUAAAGAACUUAGUUUGCUAAAGAACGAUUUGCUAAUUGACGCAAAACGUCAAAUUUUCAACGUUAUAUGUUCUAUACAAAUGAAACAAUUGUCACAAUCACAAUAAUAUUUACUAUAAAUGAGCAUAUAUAAAUAAGUUUUCAUUUUAA